AGGACGAACGCUGGCGGCGCGCUUAACACAUGCAAGUCGAGCGAGAACUAGUCCUUCGGACUGGGAAGCGGCGAACGGGUGAGUAACACGUGGGUAAUCAACCCUUGGCACUGGGAUAGCCCGAGGAAACUCGGAUUAAUACCGGAUGGCCCAGCAGUCUUUCGGGACGGCUGGAAAAGGUAGCUUUGGCCUCCGGCCAGGGACGAGCCCGCGGCGGAUUAGCUUGUUGGUGGGGUAAUGGCCUACCAAGGCGACGAUCCGUAGCUGGUCUGAGAGGACGAUCAGCCACACUGGGACUGAGACACGGCCCAGACUCCUACGGGAGGCAGCAGUGGGGAAUCUUGCACAAUGGGCGAAAGCCUGAUGCAGCGACGCCGCGUGAGGAGAAGGCUUUCGGGUUGUAAACCUCUUUCAGGAGGGACGAAGCUACUCGGGUUAAUAGCCCAGAGGGUGACGGUACCUUCAGAAGAAGCCCCGGCUAACUACGUGCCAGCAGCCGCGGU
rnacentral:rRNA from 1 species